CCUACGGGAGGCAGCAGUGGGGGAUAUUGCACAAUGGGGGAAACCCUGAUGCAGCGACGCCGCGUGGGUGAAGAAGCGCCUCGGCGCGUAAAGCCCUGUCAGCAGGGAAGAAAAUGACGGUACCUGAAGAAGAAGCCCCGGCUAACUACGUGCCAGCAGCCGCGGUAAUACGUCGGGGGCAAGCGUUUUCCGGAUUUACUGGGUGUAAAGGGGGCGCAGACGGCGAUGCAAGCCAGGAGUGAAAGCCCGGGGCCCCACCCCCGGACUGCCCUUGGAACUGCGUGGCUAGAGUGCAGGAGGGGCAGGCGGAAUGCCUGGUGUAGCGGUGAAAUGCGUAGAUAUCAGGAAGAACACCGGUGGCGAAGGCGGCCUGCUGGACUGCAACUGACGUUGAGGCCCGAAAGCGUGGGGAGCAAACAGGAUUAGAUACCCUUGUAGUC
rnacentral:rRNA from 1 species